AGAACCAACAAGAGAUCACCUGGAGAUUGGAGACUGAAGAAGCUGGUGGUGUAUUUCAAAAGCCUGAGAGGCAGAGGUGAAUGGUGUAGAUUUCAGUUUUAGUUUGAAGGCCUGAAAACCGGGAAUGCUAACGGCAGAAGAAGGAAUGUUCCAGCUCAAGCAGUCAAGCAGAAGAAAGAAAUUCCACUGAUUUUAUAUCUCUUUGCUCUGAUUUCUGUGACAUGGCUUUGGGGAGGACUACACAUGGCCUACAGACACUUCUGGAUGUUGGUUCUCUUUGUCAUUUUCAACAGUCUGCAGGGACUUUAUGUUUUCGUGGUUUAUUUCAUUUUACACAACCAAAUGUGUUGCCCUAUGAAGGCCAGUUACACUGUGGAAAUGAAUGGGCAUCCUGGACCCAGCACAGCCUUUUUCACGCCCGGGAGUGGAAUGCCUACUGCUGGAGGGGAAAUCAGCAAGUCCACCCAGAAUCUCAUCAGUGCUGUGGAGGAGGUGCCACCUGACUGGGAGAGAGCAUCCUUUCAACAGGCCAGUCAGGCCAGCCCUGAUUUAAAGCCAAGUCCACAAAAUGGAGCCAUGUUCCCGUCCUCUGGAGGAUAUGGCCAGGGGUCACUGAUAGCCGAUGAGGAGUCCCAGGAGUUUGAUGAUUUAAUAUUUGCAUUAAAAACUGGUGCUGGUCUCAGUGUCAGUGAUAAUGAAUCUGGUCAAGGCAGCCAGGAGGGGGGCACCUUGACUGACUCCCAGAUCGUGGAGCUCAGGAGGAUACCCAUCGCCGACACUCACCUCUAGCACCUCACUAACCAUUCGACUUAGCACACUUUCAUGUUUGUAUCAGCUUUUGUGCUAAAACUCUCUAAGUACGUCCACCUGUGUAAUAGGAACCUGUGAAUUGUACUGGAUGAUUAACACAAACGUGAUUGUUGUAUUUGGAGUAUAAAUUACUGAUUGUAUGUGACCUGAAAAUUCACUGCUAUAAGAAAGAUGGAGUCAGUUUGUAUCAGUUAAUAGGAUGUUCAUAUUCCAAGAAUAUUAGUUGUUUUUUUAAUCAUCCUAUAUGGCUAACAUUGUUUAAUGAAAGUAAUAAUCAAUAAAGCAAUAGAA
rnacentral:sRNA from 1 species